UACGUAGGGGUCUAGCGUUGUCCGGAAUCAUUGGGCGUAAAGAGCUCGUAGGCGGUUCGGCAAGUCGGAUGUGAAAUCUCCACGCUCAACGUGGAGGGGCCAUUCGAAACUGUCGUGACUCGAGUCCGGUAGGGGAGUGCGGAAUUCCCGGUGUAGCGGUGAAAUGCGCAGAUAUCGGGAGGAACACCAGUGGCGAAGGCGGCACUCUGGGCCGGAACUGACGCUGAGGAGCGAAAGCGUGGGGAGCGAACAGG
rnacentral:rRNA from 1 species